UCUCGCCUUCUCCCCCCACUGGCAUUAACAUAACAUUGGUAUCCCAUACUCUCUCAUGGCGUCCAACCCAAAUUUGUUCCUUGGAAAACCCUAACCACAAUAUCCAACACACACCACCAUCCUCCACUCCUGCUCUAUUUCAGAUGCGUUCCAUCACCUUCAUCACCACCAUCAAUUUAAACCCCUACACCACCUUCCACAAUGUUUACAACCACAGCCAUUUGCCCCAAAACCGGCCUGUUUCAAAUCCAUUUUCCCUGGCCUAUCAUCUACCAACCUCAACUUCAAGCCGACUCAAUCGCAAAUGUUCGAGCCAUAAUCAGAACCAUAUAAGCUUUAACAUAAUCGCAAAUGUUUUAGGUUGCGGCUUAUGAAUUGUUCAAAAAAAAUCGAAUCGUUUAAAUCAGUUGUUAUAUAUCAUCUCAUUUUUCUUUAAUUUUUGGUACCCUAAUUACCAGUAAUCAUCUCUCAGUCUCUCUCAACAUAUUACAGCCCAUGUUGCUUCGUCAAAUAUAUGAAGGCCGAUUGAUCGAAGCCAUCUCUGAUUUGGGUUUCGUUUUGAAGAAUAAGGCAAAGCACUCCAUAUAUUCGAUGGAAUGCCCCAGAUAAGACGCACCUUUAUAUUUUGCUGGUUUUUGAUAUUUGGAAGAAGAUAGGUAUCAUUUAGUCUUCAUUUUGUUGUUUUAUUUUUGUUUCUGACACUUUUUGGUUUACAAACAAUUAUGUUGAGGUUGUGCCCAGUGAAAUCACAUCACAGGAAGCUAAGGGUAUGAUAACUUCAAUAUACACAGAAGUCAAAAAAAGAAAGAUCCUGGUACACCUUAGACACUAGGGGGAUUUUUGGUUAAAGUACUUUCAAGGUGGUAUUUUUACUGCUUUCUUUUGUUGAGCGAUAAAAUUUGAAUUUUUAAUGUUUAAUUUAUGAAUUGAAUUGAGUUAUGAGUUUGUUUCUUAAUAUUCAAUACACCAAAGAUGACAUUGAUUAAGUGUUUGUUUCAAAUUAUGAAGGUUUUUGUGUUUAAACUCAUCAUCAGGGCUGCCAAGCCUAAAACCAUUGGUGAUAUUGGUUUGAAUAUGUUUGGCUAAAUUUUGAAUUCUUUAUCAGUUGACUCCACAAUGGCUAGAUUUUAUACAUGCUUCUAAUUUUCUAAUAUGAACUAUAAAUUUUAUUUUAUGGUUUGUUAAGUCACAACCUCUAUUUCAAGAACUGCAUUGUGUGUGGACUGUGGACGUAUUGAUUGGUUAAUAGGUUCUUUGGUGACUAACAAAUAAUAACAAUUUACUUUACUCACUUUCAUGUUAUAACAUCCUACUUUUUUUUUACUAAAAACGUACAUGCAUUGGCAAAGAGAUAUGAAGCUAUUGAUAGUAAUAAUUCGAUGAAAGGGAUAUUUUACAUCUUGCAAUUAUAAUAUGAAAAAGCACAAUUAGUUUCAACAAAUUUUUCAUAUCUUGUAGUUUUUUUUAUUAUUAUCUUUGGGCCUUUAACAGGAAUCACACCCCCUUAAAAAGUCGAUUUUCACCUUUACUCUUAAAACACUCUAGAAUAAACCAUCCAGUAAUAUCCCCUUCUCAUUUUACAAUUUUGAAGUGUUAAAGAAUCUUUUAGUGGCUUCUGUUUGUCUUCUUCUUUGUUGCAGGUUAUUGACAAAUGCAUUAAUGGUGCCCUAAUCUGUUCAUGGAUUCUGAUUAUUCUGUUUGUUCCAUACCGACUUUUGAUUAUUAUCAAAAGGGUGGAAUCAUAACCAAUUACAACAGGGAGGUAUAUAUAUGCUAAUAUGCAAAACUAUUUCACGAACAAUGUAAGUUAUAUUGGUAUGUUUUUUUCACCACCUUCUGUUUAUGUUUAUGCAGAUUGUAAUCAUUAUAGACGAUAACCCGGAUGCUAUUUUUUCUAGAUUUGUGGUAUGCAGAUUUGGAAAAAGUAUUGUAAGACAAGACAUCAAUAAUUAAAUGUUAUGUAAAUUUUUUAAUUCAAGAUAUGCAAACAAAUACAUAGAGCAUUGUACUCAAGAACAAAAAAGGCAUGUGCAACAUUGUGUGCAUGGUUCAGGUCUGGUAUUUUUGCUGCCACUAUGUAGGAAGAAUAUGAGUACGAGGGUUAAUUUUGACUUUUUCUCAAAUUUAUGGUAACAUUUACAUAAAGCUUUGUAUGGAAAAUAUUCUUGUGUGUAGGCUUAAUAUUUAAAGUUUUUUUUGUUUCAUUGAAGAUUUCAGAGACUGUUUGCAAUUUGGAUAUGGAUGCAAUCAUGACCCUGAAACUAAAGUGGAGGAGAUGUAUUUAAAUCCAUCAGUAGAUUGUGACAAUUAUUGAUGGAAAUGAUUUCAAUAAUCAUGAGUAUCAUGAAAGAAGGGAUAUUUGAAUUAUGUUUCGUAAUGUUUAAAGAUAGUUUGUAAGUUCACAUUUUUUUUCUUAGCUGACUCAUUUCUUUUUUUUUUUUUUUUUUUGUAUUUUUAUCUAAUGUACAUGUGAUGGAUACACCAAUAACUAUCGUGUUAUAAGAUAAUUAGUCUAGGACUCUAGCCUAACAUAUUUAUCUAUCUUGAUGUUUAUAGUAUUGGAGUUGAGACAACUA